AACGAACGCUGGCGGCAGGCUUAACACAUGCAAGUCGAACGCCCCGCAAGGGGAGUGGCAGACGGGUGAGUAACGCGUGGGAAUCUACCCAGAUCUUCGGAACAACUGAGGGAAACUUCAGCUAAUACCGGAUACGCCCUACGGGGGAAAGAUUUAUCGGUUCUGGAUGAGCCGGCGUUGGAUUAGCUAGUUGGUGGGGUAAUGGCCUACCAAGGCGACGAUCCAUAGCUGGUCUGAGAGGAUGAUCAGCCACACUGGGACUGGGACACGGCCCAGACUCCUACGGGAGGCAGCAGUGGGGAAUAUUGGACAAUGGGCGAAAGCCUGAUCCAGCCAUGCCGCGUGAGUGAUGAAGGCCUUAGGGUUGUAAAGCUCUUUCAGUAGGGAAGAUAAUGACGGUACCUACAGAAGAAGCCCCGGCUAACUUCGUGCCAGCCGCCGCCGUAACAC
rnacentral:rRNA from 1 species